rnacentral:misc_RNA from 1 species
AUGCAGACACUUGUCCUGUUCUUAAUAAGGUAAUAACACUGUUCUUGAAAUACAUUUCGUAUUAUUGUUAAGGAUCGCGUUUCUGUUCAAGUUCCCUUUAAACGUACAGGUGCUCCAAUAGACUCCUCAUCUGUUUAUUGACGCAUAUAGACCUCCAAUACCUUUCACUCUCCAUUUACUAAUUUCAUCUCGCGGUUAUUCAAGUAAGUCAUCGAUUUUCGCAAAGAUUUCUCCGUAAUGCACCGGUCAUAUUAGAAAGUGACAAAAGCAGACAAAACCUUCCAAUAUCCUGUGACACGAAUGUCAUCCCUAGUAGUCAUUGAAUGGAACAAAAUGUAUACAAAAUAGGGAAAUGUGAAGUGUUGACGUCUAAAACGUCUAAUCAAGCCGCCAAAUCAUUUUUUGAAGUACUUCACAAAGUUGAACUCUUUAAAGGAUAAAAAAAGAAAGAAAUUUAUAAGUAAGAGACAUAUAUACUCUUGCAAGUAAAAACAAAUUCAUGGUGAAUCAAAGGAAAUGAAAAGGAAAACAACGUCAGUCAGGGUAUUAUUACUGGGUGUUUAAUACAAUCACGAACCUGACUAAGUUCCUUCUACGCCAUGAGACGUAAAGGACCGGUUCUUAUUCUUGGUAUCCGUAAUGGUACGCGGAUAAGAGUCAUUGACCCCCCCCCCCCCUUGAUGGCGCCGGUUCAUAUCAGGUUAACUCAAACUUGAGCCAGUUACAAUUCCAACUUGUGGAUUGAGGCAAUGCAAGAUGAAGUGUAUUGUCUAAGGGCACAACACAAAGAACCAAGUGACCACAGAGGGGCUCAAACAAGUAGCAUUUGGAUGCCUUGCAAAUGUAACCACUAAGCCGUACAAUCCACCAUCAUUUAAUAAAUCUGUUCACCUUCAGUUUUUUGUAUUUCAAAAAAAUUCAAUUAAAUACUUUCAACGUAAUUUUUGGUUUUACUUUUUAUUGAAAAAUCGAUUUUAGAAACCAACAAUUGCUUCACACCCAGUAAGUCAACAAUUUCUUUAUGACAAUAUUUUUUUUAAAUUGUAUUGAAAACUAACAAUGUUCUUAUUGCUUUCUAUUAACUAUGUCCAUAUCUACCCAAAUUAAUUUACAAUAUCUGUAAAUCACAAGUACAUGUAUUUAUUAAUGAUAAAAUCGGUCAUAAAGAAAUUUCAAAAUGGCUCUAGUUAAUUUAAUUCUACAACAGCAAAUUUCAUUGCUGCAAUAUCAGCCAGACCACAUUCAAUAGUCUGACCGGCAUGCACAGGGCCGGAUCCGGCUGGUGUUCCCGUCAAAAUGACGUCACCCACCUCUAGUGUAAAGUAUUUGCUGACGUAAGAGAUUAUUUCGGGAACAGAAAAAAUCAUAUCCGAGGUGCUGCAAUUUUGCUUCGUAACUCCGUCAACUUUGAGCCACAGGCGUGUAUCGCUAUAAUUUGAUAGUUUUUCCUUGUCAAUGAAGCCGCUUGCGGGACACGACGUGUCAAAGCCUUUACAGAGAAACCAAGGCCUCGAUUUUUCUUUAGCUUCGAUAUGGAAGUCUUUUGCCGUCAUAUCGAGUGCCAGCAAGAAUCCGCCAAUGUAAUCUGAAGCAUCAGAUGGCGAGAUGUUUGAACAUCUUUUACUGAUAACAACUCCAAGUUCCACUUCAUGAUAUAACAAUUUACACCCAAGAGGGAUCUGCAAGUAAGUUUAACAUUAUUAUGAUAAUGCCAAAUUGAUUCAAAGACCUUUUAAACCUCAGUUCAAUGAUUACAAAGCCAAUAAUGAAAAUGAGCAUCGAUAUUGGUGCGAGAAAUAUAUCGCAUUUCGAAUUGUUUUCCUUAUCUUAUGCUUCAAAAGUUGUUUGAAGAUGCUAAGAUUUUAUUUUAUCCAAUAAAGCAGCUUUAUCGACAAUUUAUGCAAACAAUGAGACAUCAGGCAUGUGCACUGUUUAAACAGGGCUUCAAUAUGUUCAAUUAAUUUGCAGAGACUCCUAUUACUAGUAUUAGCGAUAAAACUAACCAAAGAAACUCUUGUAUUGAAGGCCUCCAAUAAGUACGUUCGCUAUAAGAAAGUGAUGCAGUCUCUGUGUCCUUCUGAAGUCGACAUGUAUAGAGAUGCGUUUAACUUUUUUGACAAAUCGAAGAAAGGAUACUUAGUGGCGGACGACUUUGAGCGGGCACUGACCACGAUAAAUUCCAUCACCGAGACCCCUACCUCCAGGGAGGACGCGGAGAGUCUGGUCAGAGAGUACGAUGUGAACGGUGAUGGUAAAAUAACGUUUGAGGAACUAGUCGUUUCCAUUGUAAAACGGAAGGAAACGAAGGACAAAGACUCAGAGCUUCAAAAACUAUUUCAAAAUUUUGAUAGUGAUGGCGAUGGUGCUUUGAAUAAAGGGGAACUAAUUGCAUUGUUAGGUUCGAUACAGGAGAAGGUAUCGGCAACAGACAUUGAUGAGAUUUUAGCUGAUUUUGAUGAAAAUGAAACGGGGUUGAUGCAAUACAACGAUUUUGUGAAGAUUAUGAAGCAACUUGUUUGAAGAAGGCAAUGUAGAUGAUUUCGAUGUAGUUGGAUAAAAUAUUUGCUCUGUACAUUUUUUUAAAAGAAAAAAAUUAUGUUUAUGUUUUGCAUAAUUUGUUUAAAAAAGAAACAACGAAUUGUUAUUAAAAUACACUAUGUGUAAUGUUCGAUUACUAUUUCUUUUAUGUUGUCCAAGAGUAUAUAUUUGUUUUAAUUAACCUUGUAGAGGCAUACAGGGUACGCACUGUAUAUGUAGGAACAAGAAAUUUGUUUCAGUUAUGAUGGCAUUUUCUUGAUAUGAUUUGUAUAACGUAUAUUUUUUGGCUUUCUUAUUGUAAUAAUUGUACUUUUGAGAGAUGAAAAAAUCUUUGUACAUUGUAAAUCAUGUUAACAGUAAACAUGUGCAAUAGAAAAAGGUUAUAUUAUAUGUAUGUGUAUUGAGAAGAAAGGGAACAUUAAAAUCUUUAUAUUUACAUCU